rnacentral:rRNA from 1 species
AGUGAACGCUGGCGGUAGGCCUAACACAUGCAAGUCGAACGGCAGCACAGUAAGAGCUUGCUCUUACGGGUGGCGAGUGGCGGACGGGUGAGGAAUACAUCGGAAUCUACUUUUUCGUGGGGGAUAACGUAGGGAAACUUACGCUAAUACCGCAUACGACCUACGGGUGAAAGCAGGGGAUCUUCGGACCUUGCGCGAUUGAAUGAGCCGAUGUCGGAUUAGCUAGUUGGCGGGGUAAAGGCCCACCAAGGCGACGAUCCGUAGCUGGUCUGAGAGGAUGAUCAGCCACACUGGAACUGAGACACGGUCCAGACUCCUGCGGGAGGCAGCAGUGGGGAAUAUUGGACAAUGGGCGCAAGCCUGAUCCAGCAAUACCGCGUGGGUGAAGAAGGCCUUCGGGUUGUAAAGCCCUUUUGUUGGGAAAGAAAAGCAGCAGGUUAAUACCCCGCUGUUCUGACGGUACCCAAAGAAUAAGCACCGGCUAACUUCGUG